GGGUCCAAGGGUGCUCUAUUAUGGCUAUAUUCUCAAAUGUACUGUACAAUUCUCCCAGACAGCCACAUUUUCUUCUAUUGAUUCCCCUUGUGUUUCCCUCCCAAAGCUGAGAGUUUGGUCAAAGAUGAUGAUCUUUUCUUUAAGGACAAGAACUGUAUGUAGUUAGGAAUAUUAAUGUAGCUUCAAUUCCCUUCUACAGCCUCCAUAUCAGCAGCUAAAUGCCAUUUAUUUAAGUUUAUAGAAAACAAAUUAGAGCUCAGAACUUUUCAGAUCUAUAUUGAGUACUCAAUUU
ensembl:misc_RNA 7SK 7SK RNA